rnacentral:antisense_RNA from 1 species
UUUGGCAUUCGGCUUACGGGCCACAAUCCCAUUACCCACCGCAUGCAACAGGUGCGUUUUACCGAGACCGGUGCCGCCAUA